CCGUCUAUAGCUCAACUGGACAGAGCAGUGGUGUUCUAGGCCAUUGGUUGGGGGUUCGAAUCCCUCUGGGCGGGCCA
rnacentral:tRNA from 1 species